rnacentral:snoRNA from 1 species
GUGCAUCUAUUUGACAGACCUGGGGCAGUUAGACUGAAUGCUACCAAGUUUCCACCACAGAUGCAAGAGAAAAGUAUCCUCGUCCUGCCAGCCUGCCUGCCUGCCUGUGGCAGCUAAGAUUAAAUGGGGGAAUAUAGUA